ensembl:lncRNA
AUAACGGCCUGUCAGCCCCUAAGAAGAGAUGAAGAAAUUUAUCUCCCCCCACCUUGUUAGAGAGAUGGGGGUCUAUGAUGUGCAAAUCAAGUCAGAACUUUUAUUAGUAUUCACUGUCAUUAGCUUUUAGGUUGGCUUUGCCCAUUUUUAUUUUUGCAAUGAAAAGCUCAUUGUCUAGGGAUUUAGAUGUGCCAAGUGAGAGAACAUGAGGGGUUUGUUCAGAGGAGUAUAAUCAGAACAAAUGAUUAUGAUGUAAGGACAAAAAUAAUUGAUGUAAAGAGUGGGAAAAAAAUCAAUCUAUCAAGACUUAAACUAUUAAUCUUUUCCUAUACAACAACCUAACAGGUCUUUGUUUUGCUAUGAUAAAAAAAAAAAUAACUGACAUUUUUAUGAUAAAAUAUAAUAUGUGGCCCUCUAUAUUAUCCAAAGACCCCUUCAGACGAUGAACAUAUUGGCAAAGGUGAUUAGCUUUUGUUCAUAUACUAAAGCCUGAGUUAAAGAAACAGGAAAAAAGCAAACUUUUAGGAGAGAGAUAAUUAAAUGAGAUUGAGACAUUGUCACUGAGAAAAAGAUUGGGGAGAAUGGACAGGGAAUUGGCAAAGAAACACCCAAACCAAAAUGUUCCUAUUUCCUAAUCUUGUUCCUUCCCUACUUUAAACCUCUACAAGCCCAGGGACAAGACUGGGUUUUCUAGAAAGUUCCCCUGCCCUGCCCACUUGACUAUAGCCCUGCCUAAUGCCAUCACCUUCUAUGACAUCAUGGGGAUGGAAUGAAAGUCCUGAGCGAGAGGCUUGAGAAUAUGCAGGUCGGACAGGAAGGCAUCAUUUGGAAAAGAAAAGCGGUGUUAUCCAGAAGAGUUGGUGCUGCUUCUGUGGAGAAAAAACAGAGCAUCCUAAUAUUGCUGAUUUUGUCGCUCUAUGUGGCCAUGUGGAUAUCAGAAAAAAGCGCAGACAGCACAAAAGGGAUCCAAGAAUGCAAUUACUCUAGGAGUCAUGAAGCUUCCAAGAGCUUUGAUGAUCAAUUCAAGAAUCAACCAAAGGAACCAGUGAGGGCUAUGGGACUAUGGUUGAGAGAGAACCUGGACACCCUUCAGGAGAGAAUGGAACAAGAAGAAUAUCUAUUUGACAACUCUAUGGAGGAUGGUUUCAAGAGUGGAGCCUGGAGACAAGGAAGCAAAUUAGGAGACUCCUUCAAUAGUCCAGAGGCAAGAAUAAGUAUUUGGAUGCUGAGUGACCUGCCUCCUGGACCCUCCUCCUUGUGUGACCAUCCCUUUCAAAUAGAUGGAACUUUCAAAUAA